rnacentral:rRNA from 1 species
GCGUGAGUGAUGAAGGCCUUCGGGUUGUAAAACUCUUUUGGCGGGGACGAUAAUGACGGUACCCGCAGAAUAAGCUCCGGCUAACUUCGUGCCAGCAGCCGCGGUAAUACGAAGGGGGCUAGCGUUGUUCGGAAUUACUGGGCGUAAAGCGUGCGCAGGCGGCUUCUCAAGUCAGGGGUGAAAGCCCAGAGCUCAACUCUGGAACUGCCUUUGAGACUGAGAGGCUUGAGUACGGGAGAGGUGAGUGGAAUUCCCAGUGUAGAGGUGAAAUUCGU